UCUGGCAGCUUGCGGCCUUAAUAACAAAAAAUGAUAUGAAUUGAGGGUAUAAACACAAACAGUGAAUUAGCUCUGAAUAAAUAAUGUACUCCAUACAGUAAAAUGUAAACAAAACUGCUACAAUUGAUUGUAAUAGGGAUCAACAUUUU